CAGCCGCGGUAAUACGGGGGGUGCAAGCGUUAUUCGGAUUUAUUGGGCGUAAAGAGCGCGUAGGCGGUUUAUCAAGUCAGAUGUGAAAGCCCUGGGCUCAACCUGGGAAGUGCAUUUGAAACUAGUAGACUUGAGUAUGGGAGAGGGGAGUGGAAUUCCUGGUGUAGAGGUGAAAUUCGUAGAUAUCAGGAGGAACACCGGUGGCGAAGGCGACUUCCUGGACCAAUACUGACGCUGAGGCGCGAAGGCGUGGGGAGCAAACAGGAUUAGAUACCCUGGUAGUCCACGCAGUAAACGGUGAUCACURGGGUGUAGCGGGUAUUGACCCCUGCUGUGCCGCABUUMMSGCAUUAAGUGAUCCGCCUGGGGAGUACGAUC
rnacentral:rRNA from 1 species